rnacentral:rRNA from 1 species
GAAAAGAACCCCGGGAGGGGAGUGAAAUAGAACCUGAAACCCUGCACUUACAAGCUGUGGAAGCACAUUUCUUGUGUGACCGCGUACUUUUUGUAGAACGGGCCAACGAGUUACGUUAAGUAGCAAGGUUAAGCACUUAAGGUGCGGAGCCGUAGCGAAAGCGAGUUUUAACUGAGCGUUCAGUUACUUGACGUAGACCCGAAACCGGGCGACCUACCCAUGAGCAGGAUGAAGCGAAAGUAAAAUUUCGUGGAGGUCCGAACCCACGAGCGUUGAAAAGCUCGGGGAUGACUUGUGGGUAGCGGUGAAAUUCCAAUCGAGCCCGGAGAUAGCUGGUUCUCCCCGAAAUAGCUUUAGGGCUAGCCUCAAGGUGAGAGAUACGGAGGUAGAGCACUGAAUGUCCUAGGGGGUAUUGCACCUACCGAAGACUAUCAAACUCCGAAUGCCGUCAUCUUAUACUUGGGAGUCAGACUGUGGGUGAUAAGAUUCAUAGUCGAAAGGGCAACAGCCCAGAUCGUCAGCUAAGGUCCCUAAAUGUAAGUUAAGUGGUAAAGGAUGUGGGAUUGCACAGACAACCAGGAUGUUGGCUUAGAAGCAGCCACUCAUUCAAAGAGUGCGUAAUAGCUCACUGGUCGAGUGAUCCUGCGCCGAAGAUUUCCGGGGCUAAAACUUACUACCGAAGCUACGGCAUCAGUAAUGAUGGGUAGGGGAGCUUCCCAUACGGGUUGAAGCAUGACCGUAAGGACAUGUGGACAGUAUGGGAGUGAGAAUGUUGGCAUGAGUAGCGAGAUGUGGGUGAGAAUCCCACAGGCCGUAAACCCAAGGUUUCCAGGGGAAGGUUCGUCCGCCCUGGGUUAGUCGGGACCUAAGCUGAGGCCGAAAGGCGUAGGUGAUGGACAACAGGUUGAUAUUCCUGUACUACCGAUAACCGUUUGAGAGAAGGGAUGACACAGUAGGAUAAGCUAAGCACACUGUUGGUUAUGUGUGCCCAAGCAUUGAGGCAGUCAAAGUAGGCAAAUCCGCUUUGAUAAUGCUGGGAUGUGAUGGGGAGCGAAAUUUAGUAGCGAAGUAGCUGAUUUCACACUGUCAAGAAAAGUCUCUAUCGAGGUUAAAGGUACCCGUACCGCAAACCGACACAGGUGGGUGAGGAGAGUAUCCUAAGGCCAGCGAGAGAACUGUUGUUAAGGAACUCGGCAAAAUGACCCCGUAACUUAGGGAUAAGGGGUGCCACCAUCAGGUGGCCGCAGAGAAUAGGCCCAAGCGACUGUUUACCAAAAACAUAGGUUUCUGCUAAGUCGCAAGACGAUGUAUAGGAGCUGACGCCUGCCCGGUGCUGGAAGGUUAAGGGGAUCUGUUAGAGCAAUCGAAGCAGUGAACUUAAGCCCCAGUAAACGGCGGCCGUAACUAUAACGGUCCUAAGGUAGCGAAAUUCCUUGUCGGGUAAGUUCCGACCCGCACGAAAGGCGUAACGAUUUGGGCACUGUCUCAACAACAGACUCGGUGAAAUUGUAAUUCCGGUGAAGAUGCCGGAUACCUGCGACAGGACGGAAAGACCCCAUGGAGCUUUACUGUAGCUUGACAUUGGGUCUUGGUACUACAUGUACAGGAUAGGUGGGAGGCUUUGAAACCAGGACGCCAGUUUUGG